AUUUUUUUUUCGCCAGUUGCAUCAAACCGUGUCUGCAAUGCACUUGCACUUCUUCAGUGUGUUGCUUCACACCCUGAGACCAGGAUCCCGUUCUUGAAUGCUCACAUCCCACUGUACCUGUACCCGUUCCUGAAUACUACCAGCAAG